UACGGAGGAUCCAAGCGUUUUCCGGAAUUACUGGGCGUAAAGAGUUGCGUAGGUGGCAUAGUAGGCGAAUAGUGAAAGCGUGUGGCUCAACCAUACAUCCAUUAUUUGAACUGCUAGGCUAGAGUAUGAGAGAGGUAGAUGGAAUUCCCAGUGUAGGAGUGAAAUCCGUAGAUAUUGGGAGGAACACCGAUGGCGUAGGCAGUCUACUGGCUCAUUACUGACACUAAGGCACGAAAGCGUGGGGAGCAAACGGG
rnacentral:rRNA from 1 species